CAUCGCCUCUUGACAAAAUAUAAGAGGUCCAGCCUGCCCAGUGACCAUGUUCAACGGCCGCGGUAUCCUAACCGUGCGAAGGUAGCGUAAUCACUUGUUCUUUAAAUGAGGACUAGUAUGAAUGGCACCACGAAGGUUAUACUGUCUCCUUUUUCUGAUCAGUGAAACUAAUCUCCCCGUGAAGAAGCUGGGAUUUUUAUAUAAGACGAGAAGACCCUAUGGAGCUUUAAACAGAAAAACAAUUGCUACCACAAUUAUUAAUUUCAGAAAACUAAACUUUAUCCUAGCAUUAUGAUUUUCAGUUUUAGGUUGGGGUGACCGCGGAGUAAAAUAUAACCUCCGCGUUGAAACGGAUUCUAUCCUAAGCAAAAAGCUACGACUUUAAGCAUCAACAAAUUGACACCAAUUGACCCAAUAUUUUGAUCAACGAACCAAGUUACCCUAGGGAUAACAGCGCAAUCCACUUCAAGAGCUCCUAUCGACAAGUGGGUUUACGACCUCGAUGUUGGAUCAGGGUAUCCCAGUGGUGCAGCCGCUACUAAAGGUUCGUUUGUUCAACGAUUAAAACCCUACGUGAU
rnacentral:rRNA from 2 species